rnacentral:lncRNA from 1 species
UUGGCACCAAAUCCCAAACAUCAUUCCGUUUGAAUUGGUUAAGCUCCUCUUGCAUUUCCAAGGUCCAAAAUUCAUCCCCAAUUGCUUCGGAGAUGGUUGUUGGUUCAAUUUGAGAAACAAAAGCAGUAUGUCCUAAGGUGUUCUUAAGAGAGCUUCGGGUUCUUACCUUUUCUCCGACGUCGCCAAUACCUGUUCGAGAGGGUGAUCUUUG